rnacentral:rRNA from 1 species
CCUACGGGCGGCAGCAGUGGGGAAUAUUGGACAAUGGGGGGAACCCUGAUCCAGCCAUGCCGCGUGUGUGAAGAAGGCCCUCGGGUUGUAAAGCACUUUCAGUGAGGAAGAACGCCUGGUGGUUAAUACCCAUCAGGAAAGACAUCACUCACAGAAGAAGCACCGGCUAACUCCGUGCCAGCAGCCGCGGUAAUACGGAGGGUGCGAGCGUUAAUCGGAAUUACUGGGCGUAAAGCGCGCGUAGGUGGCUUGAUAAGCCGGUUGUGAAAGCCCCGGGCUCAACCUGGGAACGGCAUCCGGAACUGUCAAGCUAGAGUGUAGGAGAGGAAGGUAGAAUUCCCGGUGUAGCGGUGAAAUGCGUAGAGAUCGGGAGGAAUACCAGUGGCGAAGGCGGCCUUCUGGACUGACACUGACACUGAGGUGCGAAAGCGUGGGUAGCAAACAGGAUUAGAUACCCCGGUAGUC